AAAAUGUGAUAAGUAGUAUCAAUUAUAGAAUUUAGUAAAUUAUUAAAUCUUUAAAUGUAUAUUACGCUUUUUAGUAUUCUAUGGGGUAUGCCUAUUCGAGCGUUAUCUAUAUCCUUAAGCUCUACUUAGUGUUGGGCGUUUGUCCUACCUUCGUGCGUAGACUUGCCCUAAAUAUAUUAGUAGUAGUUUUUAUUUCCUCCUGCGUAGUAUAUUACGCUUCUCGAGGCUGUAGCGGCCUAUGUUUAAUAAGCUAAACCCUCCUAUCUUUAACCUUAGAUUAGGUAGGGAUACCCGCUGAACUUAAGC
rnacentral:misc_RNA from 1 species